rnacentral:rRNA from 1 species
UAAGGUCACGGCGAGACGAGCCGUUUAUCAUUACGAUAGGUGUCAAGUGGAAGUGCAGUGAUGUAUGCAGCUGAGGCAUCCUAACAGACCGAGAGAUUUUAAC